CCCAGACCAGAGAGGUUAGAGUACAUCCCAGACCAGAGAGGUUAGAGUACAUCCCAGACCAGAGAGGUUAGAGUACAUCCCAGACCAGAGAGAUUAGAGUACAUCCCAGACCAGAGAGGUUAGAGUACAUCCCAGAUCAGAGAGGUUAGAGUACAUCCCAGACCAGAGAGGUUAGAGUACAUCCCAGACCAGAGAGGUUAGAGUACAUCCCAUUCCCUAUAUAAUGCACUUCUUUAGACCAGAACUCCCAUUGCAGACGGAACAAAACCGAGAAGGCCCUAGCUAUCUGAUGUACCAGGUGCAGCCAACCAGAGCAGGCCCUAGCUAUCUGAUGUACCAGACUCAGCCAAACAGAGCAGGCCCUAGCUAUCUG
ensembl:lncRNA